UAAUCCAAGAUAAUCAAAUACCUUCCACCUCAAGCUUCUUACAUCAAGUUUACCAAAUAUGUCGUAAUAUAUGAAGUCUUAUUUGAGAAUGCUCCGGAUACUUGGUUGUAGAAGGUAGAAUGGAAAUUGCAACAAAAAAUCUUAAUCAUAAUAGAAUACUAAUAAAAUCUAAUUAGACCAUAAUAAUGUCAAGCAAGCUUUAAUCAAAUUCAAAGAAACCUCAAAGAAAUUUCAAAGAAAUAAUAAGAAAUCUUAAAAAAAUAUUAGAAUAAUCACAAAUAUAUCUCAAAUACAUGUCAAUUCAAUCUUAAUUUAACCCUAGUUAAAAUCCUAUUGAACUUCAUUUAAACUUUAGGCCAAAACUAAUUAAAUUUUAAACCCUAAAUAAAUCCUAAUAAAAUCCUAAACUCUAAAUCAAAUCCUAAAUCCCAAACCAAAUCCUAACCAAAUUCUAAAUCAAACUCUAAAUAAAUCCUAAAUCAAAUCCUAACUAAAUCUUAAACCCUAAACCAAAUCCUAAAUCCUAAACCAAAUCCUAAACCUUAAACCAAAUCCCAAACUCUAAACCAAAUCCAAACCGAAUUCUAAAUCCUAAAUCAAAUCUUAACCAAAUCCUAAACCAAACCUUAAAUCCUAAAUGAAAUCCUAACCAAAU
rnacentral:lncRNA from 1 species